GGGCGAAGGCAGGCGGAGGGGCCGCAGGAAGGAAAGAAGGGCGGCACGGAGAGCUUCAAGACCGUGUUGAAAGGCUGUAACGUACUGCAUUCCAAUCUAGGCGGGGUGAAACUCAAAAGAAGUCGACUAAGGCUGCCGAGUCUUUAUAUCAGGAGAAAGGUGGGAUAAAAACGAAGCUAAAUAAAUAUCAUCUGUCGCCUGGCCUUUUCAAGUGGAGACACCAAAGGAUGGGCCUAAUGUCACCUGCAGGCAAGCUAGAUGCUCUGCCACUGGGCUCAGUUUUCUCUUUCUUACCCGCUGGUAGUUCUGCUCUUUCUGGAUCUGUUCAAUCUGCUCCAGAAGCUGGCGCACACGCAACUGCAGCUCACUCAGCUUGUCUUUGGCUGCAAUCUCAGCAUAGUCAUUGGCAUGUUCCCCAACCUGGAUAUCAAGAUGGACUCUCUACAAAGAAAUCAGAAACAAAAGUGUUACAAUCUCUGGCCUUUUCAUAUCUACCAAAGGAAGCUGGUUCACCAGCUGGCUUGACAAGUGAGUCUGAGACCAAGCCCUCCCAUCCACUCUCCCAUGGAUAUACUUACCAGCAUGCCUCCUGCAAAAAGGGAAAACUUUGUAGAGUUGGAAUGCAGGCAGAUCUGAUGUUCUCCAGGUGUGUGUGACGUAAAGGUGAACCUGCCCUCUGAGCCAUACUGCCGAGACAAUACCACCUACAAAUGACAGAGAUUUGAGAGCAACUCGUGAGAAAAGUCAGUUCUAUACAACCAUGUUUAUGCUGGAAUACCUAUCUUAUGUAGUCACAGUUCAUAUAAAUUGAGAAUUCGCCGCUGAAUUCAUCUGCCAUUCCUUCUCAUGCAUUACACAUUAAUUUUUCAUGGGGUGAGGUGUAUUCUGAAGAUAGUGGUGUAGCCAAUCAACAUUCCAUCAUUACCAGCCCAAGAACUACAAUUUCCCAUUAUGUCAUAAAACUAAUAUAAGAGGUGGAAGCAGCUGUGAAAGAGCAUGUUCAGAUCAAAAUAUUUAUGGCUGAAAAUUAUGUGUGCUGUUGUGACCAAAAGCUCUUAUCCUUACCAAGAUACAUAGCAUGUAUCCACUAUAAAUGACUAUGGAAUUAUAAAUAAUUAUGGAAUAUGGAUGCCACUUUAAGUGCCACAGCUCAAUUCUAGAAAAUUCUGUCUGGUGAUGGACUGAAGAAUUAUCUGCCACAGAGCUUUAUUUAUUUAUUUAUUUAUUUAUUUAUUACUUACAACAUUUAUAUCCCGCCCUUCUCACCCGAGAGGGGACUCAGGGUGGCUUACAAUAAACACACAUAUAAAAAUUGUACAAUACACUAUAAAUCAGAUUAAAAAUUAUUAGCUUACAUCAACAUUCAUAAAAACCUUCUAAAAUACAAAUGGGUGUGUUCAAGUUCAAAAGACUGGGUCUGUCAAUUGAGUUCUGGCGUACAUAAUAAUAAUUUGUGCUGCUGAUUCUUAUUUGAAAGCCUGGCCCCACAACCAAGUUUUAACCUUCCUAUGGAAGGAUAGGAGGGAGGGCGUUCCAUAGGCGGGGAGUCACUACUGAAAAAGCCCUGUCUCUCGUCCCCGCCAGCCGCUCCUGUGAGGCUGACGGGACCGUGAGCAGGGCCUCAUCUGAUGAUCUUAAGCUUCGAGGUGGGUCACAGCGGGAGACACGUUCGGACAGAUAAGCUCUAAAUACUGUAAACUUGGAGGAAGUGUACUAGAUAGUACUAGAUACCUUGUUGUUGUGUGCUUUCAAGUUGUUUUGACAUGACAAUCCUAUUAUGAGGUUUUCUUGGUAAAAAUCUGUUGCCUUCCUCUAAGGCUGAGGGUGUAUGACUUACAUAAGGUAACCCAGUGGGUUUACAUGAUCAAGUAGCAAUUCAAACAGAACGAUCCCCAUACCCUUAGGACUGGUAUCCCCAGUUUUACCUACUUACAUCCAACAAAAUAUGUCCUCUCUAUGAAAUUUUAGGGAAUUCUAUAGUAUGCAUCUGCCAGAGCUUACCACAGUAAUGUAUCCCUGUGAGCCUCUACAGCAGUGGUUCUCAACCUGUGGGUCCCCAGAUGUUUUGGCCUUCAACUCCCAGAAAUUCUAAUAGCUAGUAAGUAAACUGGCUGAGGACUCACAGGUUGAGAACCACUGCUCUACAAGAAUGUCCAGCACAAGUGGUCCAUUUCAACAGGUUUCACAAUUAUGCAUGGUUUCCUGUCUCCACAGGAAUUCCAAGGACAUAUCACCUGCGAAUACAGGGGUUGUACUGUAGUAUCAAUUGUGCAGUGUAGUUGCACAUCACGGAAAAAUGACAAUAUACAAUUACUACAUGUUUAUUUAUUUUCUUUUAAGAUUCAUAUUCUUUAAUUAGUUUUUGGAAAUAAAGAUGGUAGUUUGGACAAAAAAAGGCAGCAUGUAUCCUCAUUCUUGGCAUUGCUUGACAAUGUGGCAGGCAAAGCUCCACAGAAAAGGCUUUUGGAACAAAAUGCAGAUUACCACCUUAAGGUAAAACAUUCUGUAUCUCAAAAUAGUGCUUAAUUGUUAUCCAAGAAACUAUUCUGGAAGUAUCUUUUGUAAUGAGCACAGUAUAUUGGCCCUAUUUCUACAAAAUAGAAAAUGAAGGGUAACCAGUGCUAUUGCCCUAGCGCAAGAGAGAAGAAUUUUGAGUCCCCAGAAUUAAUUUUGAACACUGAAUGAAACUUGCUUCUCUUAAAGUUACAAAAAGAAAUGGAAGUAUUUUGUGGUCGCUAUUAAACAACUGUGGACCCGUUCACACUAGGUAAUUACAGCAUUUUUAUGCCACUUCAACCACCAUGGCUACUGCAAGUCAUUUACUUACUACAAUGCAGCCUGAGCCCUGCCACAUGCACAAUGGAGGAUCUUCUUACAGUGACACCAGAGGCAGUCUAAGUGGCCAGCUUCUGGUCAAAGGAAAUUUAGUAUAACGCCUAGUUUUAACUUUGUUUGUAGUUUUCUAUACAUUACUAGCUGUGCCCGGCCACGCGUUGCUGUGGCGAAGUCUGGUAGUAUGGGAAAUAAAGUAUUGAGGAAUUGGUGGUAGUUAAGGUCAAGGGUAAAGGUUUUCCCCAGACAUUAAGUCCAGUCGUGUCUGACUCUGGAGGUUGGUGCUCAUCUCCAUUUCUAAGCCAAAGAGCCGGCGUUGUCCGUAGACUCCUCCAAGGUCAUGUGGGAUGACUACAUGGAGCGGCGUUACCUUUCCGCCGGAGCAGUACCUAUUGAUGCACUCACAUUUGCAUGUUUUCGAACUUCUGGGUUGGCAGAAGCUGGGGCUAAGAGUGGGGGCUCUCUCCGCUCCCCCAAUUCAAACCUGCAGCCUUUUGGUCCAGAAGUUCAACAGCUCAGCGCUUUAACACGCUGCGCCAUCAGGGGAUAUUAUUUCCUAAAGGUUGUGAAUAUACAAUAUUUCUGAUUGGGUUUUUUUGUUUGUUGGAGGCAAGUAUGAAUGCUGCAAUUAGGAAAAAUGAUUAGGAUGUAAUGGCCUUGCAGCUUUAAAGCCUGGCUGUUUCCUCCCUGAGUGAAUUUUUUGUUGGGAGGUGUUAGCUGGCCCUGAUUGUUUCCUGUCUGGAAUUCCCUUGUUUUCAGAGUGGUGGUGUUUGCGAUAUUUUAUGUGCUUGUACUGUCUGUGGCCCUGAGAAAACAGGAUUUGCCAGACUUUGAUGAUGGAAAUACUUUGUUGGGAGGUGUUAGCUGGCUCUGAUUGUUUCCUGUGUGGAAUUCCCCUGUUUAUUUACUGUCCUGGUUUUAGAGAUUAUAUUGUUCUGCAUUAUUCUAUCCCAGUAAUUAUUUCAUAUUAAAGAAGAAUCUCACUUAUCCAACAUUCGCUUAUACAAUGUUCUGGAUUAUCCAACGCAGUCUGCCUUUUCAUAAUCAAUGUUUUUGUAGUCAGUGUUUUAAAUUCAUUGUGAUAUUUUAGUGGUAAAUUUGUAAAUACAGUAGAGUCUCACUUAUCCAACAUAAACAGGCCGGCAGAACGUUGGAUAAGCGAAUAUGUUGGAUAAUGAGGAAUUAAGGAUAACCCUAUUAAACAUCAAAUUAAGUUAUGAUUUUACAAAUUAAGCACCAAAACAUCAUGUUAGACAACAAAUUUGUCAGAAAAAGUAGUUCAGUACACAGUAAUGCUAUAUAGUAAUUACUGUAUUUAUGAAUUUAGCACCAAAAUAUCACGAUAUAUUGAAAGCAUUGACUACAAAAAUGUGUUGGAUAAUCUUUGGAUAAGCGAGUGUUGGAUAAGUGAGAUUCUACUGUAAAUACUACAUAGCAUUACUGCGCAUGGAACUACUUUUUCUGUCAAAUUUGUUGUAUAAUAUGAUGUUUUGGUGCUUAAUUUGUAUAACGAUUACCUAAUUUGAUGUUUAAUUGGCUUUUCCUGAAUCCCUUCUUAUUAUCCAACAUAUUCACUUAUCCUGCCGGCCUGUUUACGUUGGAUAAGUGAGACUCUACUGUAUAUUGAUAAUCUUAAAUUAUCUGCUUAGAACUGGAUUAUAUGAGGCCCCUUCUUCACAGCUGUAUAAAAUGCCCCUGAAGUGGAUUAUAUGGCAGUGUGGAGUCAAGAUAAUCCAGUGCAAAGCAGAUAAUAUAAGAUUAUAAAUGGGUUAUAUAGCUGUGUUGAAGGGCCUUGAGUCUACACUGCCAUAUAAUCCAGUGCAAAUUAGAUAAUCUGUGGAAGAAGUCUAAGUGAGGCCUAAAUCUCCCUGUCCCCUAACUGAAACCUGGCUGUCCCUUGGUUGCUAGGCAACCAAGUGGGCCGAGAUUAGCCCUCUAAACUGGCAGCAAUUGGAUAAAAAAAAUAUUGCUCUCCCUCUAAUUAGGACUUUAUUUUUCUUUUCUUUUUGUUGUAUCAACAUUGAGGCGUGGAUGGUGGGUUGUGUUGUCAAAUUUUGAGGUUGGGGGGCCUGUACUUUUGUUGUUUUGUGAAUUGCCGUGAUGCCAUCACUCUUUUAUAUAUAUAGAUAACUGUAUUCUCAAUUCCCUUCUGUCACAAUAAAUAAAUAAAUAAACACCAUGGCUA